GCCUGGCUAGCUCAGUUGGUAAAGUAUGAGACUCUUAAUCUCACUGUUGUGGGUUCAAGCCCCAUGUUGGGCA